GCCUGGUUACAUGCUACAUGAUCGCAUACUUCGCCCGGCUGAAGUUGGUGUAACUGAAUCUUCCAAUGAAGAAAGUGCUCCAAGUUCUGAUGCAUGAGUCAAGUUGUUAGGGUCUUGAAAGUAUUUCUUUGCGUGACAUAUCGGCGAUAGUUUAGCGAGUAAUAUUAGUAGUCGAGUUAGUUGAAGAUGAGGUCACUGUUCCACCCGGUAAACAAAUGUUAAAUGACACUCGCU
rnacentral:misc_RNA from 1 species